rnacentral:lncRNA from 1 species
UAGCAAUUAUAAGAACAAUAAAUAAAAUUCCAAAUUUGAAAUCCAGAAAAUUACAACGGCUUUACUACAACCCACAUAAAAUAAUUUAAAGGUAAUAAUCAAAACUGUAACAUAAACAGUGUGUGUGGCUUCCUCCGAGCCCCUAGCAACCCUGAUCCAUCUAAGGCUGGCCUGAAAGAUUAAUAAACAGGGUGAGUUUACAAAAACUCAGUGUGAAAUCCCCUACUAUAAAAAGGAACAGUCAGUCAUCUAAAAGAAUUAAAAGUCUGGCCCCAGCCUUACUUACAAUUUCAGUACCAAUCGGGUCUUAGCCCAUUACAACAGACAGUACCAGAUGGACCUUAGCCCAUUACAGAAUAAGAAACAUGAUCAGAAUUGGAACCAGAAUGAGAAUCAGAAUCAGAAUCAGUAUUAGUAACAGAAUCAGAAUCAGAAUCAAAAUUAGGUGACAGAAUCAGAAUCAAAAUAGGUAACAGAAUCAGAAUCAGAAUCAGUAUUAGUAACAAAAUCAGAAUGAGAAUCAGAAUUACGUGACAGAAUCAGAAUUAGAAUGUGAAUGCAAUCCCAACCCAAUCCAGCCGUAUACACCCCCGUACCAACCUUACACCAUGUGGAGAGACAACUCGACCCACCCAUCCGCUACACACCACAUAAUUUGCAGCAUGGCUGCCAGAAUAGAUAUCGUGACAGAGUCACCAGAUACAGAUAUUGUGGCAGAGCCACCAGAAUUAGAUAGUGUGGUAAACCCCCCUAACAGAAUACGUGGCACAAAGCCAUAGAUAACUGUAAUAACUUCGGCACAUAGCCAUCAGUGACGGUAAUAUAACUGGCGCACAGCCUUCGGUAAAUAUGAUCGACACAGAGUCGUCAACAAAUAUGUUAGGCACAUAGCUACAGGUAAAUACGUUUGGCACGAAGCCAUAGUCAAGAUGGCACAAAGCCAUAUUUAGGUUGGCACAGAGCCAUUAAUAACGGGUCUAUAAUCGGCACGAAGCCCACAACAACGGCACAUAGCCUUCGGUAGCGUGAUCGGCACUUAGCCAUCGAUCGGUCAACAGAUAUUGUGACAGAGUCACCAAAUACAGAUUUGUGGCAGAGCCACCAGAACAGAUAUUUGUGGCAUAGCCACCAGAACGCUUCCUCCGUACAAAAUCCCAACCCAUGCAACAUGUCAUGUAUGCAGAAUGUCAUGCCCAUAUUUGAAUCAAACAAUCACAGUCAAGUCAUUCAUAUCACCAACAUAUAUUCACAAUCAAAUCCGUCAAACACACAGUCCAAGUCAGUCACUUGCCCACAAGGGCAAAACAGUCAUUUAACACCCUAGGGGCAAAAUGGUAAUUUUACCCCACAAGGGUAUCUCGGUAAUUCUACCCUAUAGGGGUAUUUCGGUAUUUCUACCCUACAAGGGUAUUUCAAUAAUUCUACCCUACAGGGGUAUUUUGGUAAUUCUAUCCUAUAAGGGUAUUUCAGUAAUUCUACCCUAUAGGGGUAUUUCAGAAAUUCUACCCUACAGGGGUAUUUCAGUAACUUCACAAUCAAGGGUAAAACGGUAAUUCUAUAAAUUGAGGGUAAAACGAUAAUUUUGUAAACUGAGGGUAAACCAGUAAUUUUGUAAAUCAAGGGUAAAACAGUAAUUUUACAAAUCGAGGGUAAAACGGUAAUUCUGUAAAUCGAGGGUAAAACAGUAAUUCUGUAAACUGAGGGUAAAACGGUAAUUCUGUAAAUUGAUGGUAAAAUAGUAAUUCUGUAAACUGAGGGUAAAACGAUAAUUUUACAAAUCGAGGGUAAAAUGGUAAUUCUAUAAAUCGAGGGUAAAACAGUAAUUUUGUAAACUGAGGGUAAAAUGGUAAUUCUAUAAAUCAAGGGUAAAACGAUAAUUCUGUAAAUUGAGGGUAAAAUGAUAAUUCUGUAAAUUGAGGGUAAAACGGUAAUUUUAUAAAUCGAGGGUAAAACAGUAAUUCUAUAAAUCGAGGGUAAAACAAUAAUUCUAUAAACUUAGGGUAAAACAAUAAUUCUAUAAAUCGAGGGUAAAACGGUAAUUUUGUAAACUAAGGGUAAAACGAUAAUUCUAUAAAUCGAGGGUAAAAUGGUCAUUCUAUAAAUCGAGGGUAAAACGGUAAUUCUGUAAAUCAAGGGUAAAACGGUAAUUCUGUAAACUGAGGGUAAAACGGUAGUUUUGUAAAUCAAGGGUAAAACGGUAAUUUUAAAAAUCGAGGGUAAAACGAUAAUUCUGUAAAUCGAAGGUAAAAUGGUAAUUCUGUAAAUUGAGGGUAAAAUGGUAAUUCUGUAAAUCGAGGGUAAAAAGGUAAUUUUAAAAAUCAAGGGUAAAACGGUAAUUCUGUAAAUCGAGGGGUACUUUGGUAAUUUUACAAGUCGAGGGCAUUUCAGUAAUUAGUAAACUAAAGUAUUCUAAACAUGGAUAACAAUACGAAUGGGCCUAAAGCCUAUUCUCGGCCCAAAUGGGCCCACACGCUCGUGUGGCCCUUUUAGCCCAAACCUAGCCACAGAUAUGCGAUUCACCUAGCCUAGUCCAAUAUUUACUACAAAAUCAAACAACUUAUCCAAUUGGGCCCGUAGGCCUAUUGGGCCCACAUGGCCCCUUUCGGCCCAUCGCGGCCCGAAGUAGCCAUCCAACAACAACAGUAGUGAUAAAUACACACCUGAUUGGAGACUGGAGUUAAUCCACGCUCCGAGCACUCUUAGCCGACGCCCAACCCAAACGAGCACGCCAUAAAGCGAAAGGGAUCAG